rnacentral:rRNA from 1 species
UACGUAGGGAGCAAGCGUUAUCCGGAGUUACUGGGCGUAAAGCGCGGGCAGGCGGCUCGAUGCGUCUGAUGUGAAAUCUCCUCGCUCAACGGGGAGAGGCCAUUGGAAACGGUCGGGCUGGAGGGCAGUAGAGGCAGGCGGAAUUCCGGGUGGAGUGGUGAAAUGCGUAGAGAUCCGGAGGAACACCAGAGGCGAAGGCGGCCUGCUGGGCUGCACCUGACGCUGAACCGCGAAAGCCAGGGGAGCGAACGGG